GACGAACGCUGGCGGCGUGCUUAACACAUGCAAGUCGAACGGAAAGGCCCUGCUUUUGUGGGGUGCUCGAGUGGCGAACGCGUGAGUAUCACGCGAGUAGCCUGCCCUUGACUUUGGGAUAACUUCUGUGAACACGGGUUAUUAUCCGAUAUGAGCUCCUUCUGCAUGGUGUGGAUUGGAAAGAUUCGGCGGUUGGGGAUGGAGUCGCGGCUUAUCAGCUUGUUAGUGAGGUGGUGGCUUACCAGGGCAUUGACGGGUAGCCGGCCUGAGAGGGUGACCGGGCACAUUGGGCCACAGGAGGGGGCCAGAGGGAUACGGCAGGCAGCAGUGGGAGACAUUGCAAGAUGGGCCGAAGCAUGGUAGAGCAACGUCGCGUGCGGGAUGACGGCUGUCGGGGUAGAAACCGGUUUAGCCUGUAAAGAAGAGUAAGUGACGGUAAUGGCUCAAGAAGCAACGGCUAACUACGUG
rnacentral:rRNA from 1 species